rnacentral:rRNA from 1 species
CACGUAGGGUGCGAGCGUUGUCCGGAAUUAUUGGGCGUAAAGAGCUCGUAGGCGGUGUGUCGCGUCGGCCGUGAAAACCUGCAGCUUAACUGUGGGCUUGCGGUCGAUACGGGCAUCACUGGAGUUCGGCAGGGGAGACUGGAAUUCCUGGUGUAGCGGUGAAAUGCGCAGAUAUCAGGAGGAACACCGAUGGCGAAGGCAGCUCGCUGGGACGUAACUGACGCUAAGGCGCGAAAGCGUGGGGAGCGAACAGG